AUUCAAAUAGCUUAUAUUUAGAGUAUAACAUUGAAGAUGUUAGGGAGAUAAAUUUAUCUUUGAAUA
rnacentral:tRNA from 1 species